UGACGUCAAGUCAGCAUGGCCUUUAUGUCCAGGGCUACACACGUGCUACAAUGGGCGAUACAGAGGGAAGCAAGGCCGCAAGGUAGAGCUAAUCCCUAAAGUCGUCCUCAGUUCGGAUUGCAGGCUGCAACUCGCCUGCAUGAAGUCGGAAUCGCUAGUAAUCGCGGAUCAGCUACGCCGCGGUGAAUACGUUCUCGGGCCUU
rnacentral:rRNA from 1 species